rnacentral:rRNA from 1 species
GGACCCACGAAGUCCUGUUGAGUAAGAGAUUCAUAUACUUCAGGAGGCUUAUAGUGAUUUAGCUUCACUUGUAGAAAGUGACUAAAUGACUAUUACUGUCAACUGAAUGAUGCAUUUCUCUUACUCACGUUGGAGCUCUGACUGCUCAUUAAAUGUUGAAUUUGCUCGACAAAGUGAAGUAGACCUUCGGGCUCUAACUCUUACUUUUGUUGAGUGUAAAAUUUACAUUACAAUGAGUAGAUGAAUUACUUACAAUUGUGAGUGUAUUUCAGAUCAUUGGUAUCGUUAAGAUGCUAAUUAAUGUUUCAUAGAGUCCUUAUCAAGACUUGUGCUUGAAGACUUUAUGUAUGCAUUGAUUACAAGUGUUUUAUUCGAUACACUCUGAUGAUCCAGAGUAAGUAGGUCGGUCAUCCAUCUGACCCGUCUUGAAACACGGACCAAGGAGCCCAACAUAUAUGCGAGUCGCACAGUCUUGCAUAGGCUUGUGAGGCGAAAUAAACAUAAUGGUGUGACCAUUCAUAUAUCCAAUGUGAAUGAGCAACACCAACCUGUUCUUACUAUUCAUUUAGUUGAACGGCGUUUGAGCAUACAUGUUGGUACCCGAAAGAUGGUGAACUAUACUUGGGCAAGACGAAGCCAGAGGAAACUCUGGUGGAGGUCUGUAGCGAUUCUGACGUGCAAAUCGAUCGUCAGACCUGAGUAUAGGGGCGAAAGACUAAUCGAACC